UACGUAGGGGGCAAGCGUUGUCCGGAUUUAUUGGGCGUAAAGAGCGUGUAGGCGGCCUGACAGGUCUGCUGUGAAAACUCGAGGCUCAACCUCGAGAUGUCGGCGGAAACCGUCUGGCUAGAGUCCGGAAGAGGAGAGUGGAAUUCCUGGUGUAGCGGUGAAAUGCGCAGAUAUCAGGAAGAACACCCGUGGCGAAGGCGAUUCUCUGGGACGGUACUGACGCUGAGACGCGAAAGCGUGGGGAGCGAACAGG
rnacentral:rRNA from 1 species